CAAGUAAGCUACUGAUAACCUUGAAGGAAUUAGGAGAGCCUGUUGGAGACAUGUGGAUCUUGUUACAAAUUACAGUGCAGCGUUAUUUAUGUACAUAGAGCGAGCAUGAAAAGGUCAGUGCAUCACCAGAAGAAGCGUUGGUGUACCACAGUGUUGUUCCAAGCUUAUCCUCGAACAUAGAACAGUACAACACAGGAACUGGUCCGUCAACCUACAGUAUCUCUGUCGAAAACAUGAAUACACCAUGAAAAUAUCAUUUCUACUCAUCUUCAAAACACCUGGAAUUGGAAAAUCUGCACAAGAAUACUGAGGC